rnacentral:rRNA from 1 species
AACGAACGCUGGCGGCAUGCCUAACACAUGCAAGUCGAACGAGACCUUCGGGUCUAGUGGCGCACGGGUGCGUAACGCGUGGGAACCUGCCUUUAGGUUCGGAAUAACUCAGAGAAAUUUGAGCUAAUACCGGAUGAUGUCUUCGGACCAAAGAUUUAUCGCCUUUAGAUGGGCCCGCGUUGGAUUAGCUAGUUGGUGGGGUAAAGGCCUACCAAGGCGACGAUCCAUAGCUGGUCUGAGAGGAUGAUCAGCCACACUGGGACUGAGACACGGCCCAGACUCCUACGGGAGGAAGCAGUGGGGAAUAUUGGACAAGGGGCGAAAGCCUGAUCCAGCAAUGCCGCGUGAGUGAUGAAGGCCUUAGGGUUGUAAAGCUCUUUUACCCGAGAUGAUAAUGACAGUAUCGGGAGAAUAAGCGCCGGCUAACUCCGUG